AUCCAUGAAGACAUGAGGAACCUUCACAUUGAAAUCCUAAGACAAUUUCAUAUGCAGGAGAUGGAAUUUUCCGGCGUGAUGAGCUCAAUUCUGGAAAAUCAGGCAGAUCUGAUGAAAGAAAUUAAGUCUCUUAGGAAAGAAAACCAGGAGCUUCGCCAAUUACUUUGAGAAAUAGUGAAGAUUGCAUUGUUAUUUGUGACUGUUAAUGGAUUUUGGAUUCUGUUUUUCAUUUGCUUGGUUUUGCACUUCAUAGGUGCCCUUCUGUUUCUCAGGUAAUUAGGAUUGCUUCCCUUAGCAAUAGUGCUGAAGCGUUCAGAAGGUGGAGAAAAAGGACCAAAAUUCAAUGUUAUUAGAAUUAGGAUUCUUAUUCCUUCAGCCUGUAAAUAGAUGCCUCAAUUCUCAUAGGAUCUGUGUUAUUCGACAUUUUUAGAUUCCACUGCAAAAUGUCUCCAUUCCUGUUGUAACUAAAGAAUUUUCAAUGUAUCAAGC
rnacentral:misc_RNA from 1 species